AGCAUAGCACCUGCAAGAAGAAGAGACAAAUAGAGAUGAGAACACAACAUGUCCUAUGAAUCAGUUAAACACAAUGAUGCUCAGCCAAAGGAUUGAGAAUCAUAUCGAAAGCACACAUAGAAACUCAAUGUAACAUAGAAACAUAGAAAGAAAGAGAUCUAUGUAAGAACACAAGUAUAUACUAGUAACCUAGUUAUUGUGAUUAUCAUAGAAACUCAAUGUAACAUGUUAAUAUAGAUCAGAAUGAAAGUGUCCUUCAUAUGCUCAUAUCAUUCUCCUCCUUUAUCAUAGAAACGACUUGCAACCUGCAUGUCAGUUCACGUGAACAUUGCAUAC
rnacentral:lncRNA from 1 species